AAAAAAAAAAAGUAAGUUGAAUCAGGGACUGAGGUGGUCAGCCCCUGUUUUUGAGCCUGUUACUGAACCUGUCUCAAUAGCAGAGCUGCAUAUAAGAAGAGUAAUGUUACACGCACAAUAAAUUUUUUUUACAGAUUUCAUACAUAGUGAUGCUUGGCGCAAUUUUAUUGAUUGUUGGCACACACAAAAAAAAAAAACUGUAAAUUAGGUGCUGCCAGCGCAGCAACACUUCUAGGAAUUUUCUAUGAAGAAUUUUCCAUAUAAGAAGGUUAUAAAAAAUUUUCUUAUUUAAAGUUUUACCUUUCGGAACCAUAACAAUUUAUUUAUUUAAAUUAUCUUCAAUACUUUUCCUAACUUAUUAUAUCGUUUUUACGUAAUCUUGGGACUAAUAGCUUUUUUAAUUUAAAGUUAGACAUCUCGAGCACCUAGAAUGAUAUUUAAACAAUUUGAGUCGGUAUGCAAAUUCCUCAUCUACAAAUCAGCCCUUCCCGUAGGGUAUUUUCUCAACGAAUAAGUAAUUGUAGGAGUUAAAUCUUGAUAACACUUUUCCUUCGAUACAUAUUAUCGUUUCUUAUUUUAUCGGCAACCCAUUCAUCUUAAUACUUGUAUGUAGUUUACUCGGCAAUUUAUUUAUUUAUUUUGUCUGUCUAAUCAAAUGGUACAUUAAAAAUUACUAUUGAAAUAAAUUUUAGUCACUGCAGGUACGUUAGACAUAAAAAUAAAAGCCAGCGGCCAUCUACUUUUAAUUAAUUUUGUAAUAAGUUGGCAACAACUACAAAUUGAAGAGAAAAAUAGGCAUUUUUAUAUUGGUGGGCCUUAGAUUAUUGGAGUUGUUGUGCAAUCCCAUUUGUCUUUGGGCCACAUAGAGCAGACAAAAUUUAACCACACGCGAAUUAUUGCUUCAUCAAAUUAAUAAGAAUAUACCCUUCUUAGUUAUUGAAUAUUAAUAUUUAUCUUUAGCCGGUCGAAAAGGGUUAAGACAAAAAUAUACCCAAAGUAAGAAUUAUAAUGAUUUGGUAAUUAGUGGUUUCUCAUAAUGAAUUUUGAUGGAUGUACAGAAAUAUUUUAAUAGGAGUUUUCUAGAUCCCUUACAUGAGGUGGGUCCCAUCUCAUUAACAAAUAACCUCAAAAAUUUCCACCCACCCAUGUUUGUGUGUGUUCUGUAGAACCCUUACUUAGUACCCAAGCAUGACACUUAUCGUAAUAGGACUAUCCCAGAUUAAAAAGGAGAAGUAUUAGACAACUAUUUAAUCCUAUUCAUUUCAAUAUAUCAGAUAUCUCAUCACAUUUCAAAAUUCAAGUGUUUCUGUUCUAUAUUAACACGUUGAAAUGUAAUUUGAACAAUGAGAGGCUUUCUUCUUAUCUGCCCUUGUAGAAUGAUCCUCAUUGUCGAGGUCCGUGUUUGGUCUAUACUAGUUAAAUAUGCAGUGGCAUCAUGCGCAGAUAUUCUCGUUGUAGCCUACUUGCUUUGUGUGUUGACUAUUUCAAGUUUAAGGCCAUGCGAGGGAAGGGUGGCCUGAGUGGGGCCCUACGCCCUGAAACCGUUGGGUGACGUGGGCUUUUCGUGUCAAGUGGUAACAAGCUAAAGUCUUUAACAAUUUACAACAUAAAUUACCAUCGAUGAUCAUUAAAUAUUUCCUUGAUGCACUAAUUCCACGAGUUCAAGGAGCAACGAAAUUGGCCUUAUUAUGAUGAGAACUGAAAAAAAAAGAGUCAAUGUUUAUCAACCAAACAAUCAUAAAAUCAGUGCUUUCAUGACAGAAUCAAACAACUGGGGUUAAUAGUGGUUUGUUCAGAAAGUGAGCUUCCAAGUUCCCGAUAACAAGGUCAGCCAUGGCAUUGCGGGUUUCUAGAGUGCCGCUUCCCACAUGAGGCAACAGCACGACAUUGUCAAGACUAAACAGCUGCUCGGGUACUUCAGGUUCCUUUUCAAACACAUCAAGUCCAGCACCACCCAAUCGACCCUCCACCAGAGCAGAAACCAGUUCGGGUUCGUCCACAUGAGGGCCUCUUCCAAUGUUGAUGAGAACUCCCUUUGGACCCAAUGCAUUAAUUACUUCGCGGUUGACAAUAUGACGUGUUUCAGGAGUCAAUGCACAUGCAACCACAAGGAUGUCACAGUUAGAUGCCAAGUCGAUAACACUUGAAUGGUAUUUGUAAUUGGUAUUUGGUUUCUCAGAUCUUGAGUAGUAACUGAUAGGGCAGUCGAACGCCUCUGCUCUUUUUGCAACUGCCAAUCCAAUCCUGCCCAAUCCUAUGAUACCAACUCUUUUGCCACUAAACUGCAAAAGAAGAUGAAAAAGAUGAGGGCAUGAACGAAGAAGAAAUACAAGCACCCAAACAGAUUUCACCAGGCAAAGAAUUUAGCAUAAUGUACGUGUUUUGGUACACAGUAUUAUUAGCAUAUUGAACAAGAUUUUAGCUUCUUCAUAAGUCUUACCCAAUCCACUUUACACAAACAUGCCAAAUGCGUCCAAUUAAGGACGGGAGUUUCAAUUUCUGAAAUGCAAGAUAUUUUUACUUAAAAAUGAUUUUAGAGCACUCCUAUGCUUUUGAAUGGCAAAAUGGUUCUCACUCUACUAACUUCGAACUAACUUCAUUAUAAGAUUUAAAGGGAAUUAACGUGGUAAAAAUUUCUUAAAUCAUUAAAAGCUGCUAGUAAACCAUGAAGUCUAUUAGAACAAAUUUGCUACAUGGCCCAAAAAAAUGCAGCUCUACCGUAAAUAUAAAAUCUCAUUCAAAAGCUUUCCCAUCAUUACCACAUAAGUUGCACAAGAAAUAGCUUUGUGGACAGUAUAAGAACUUAAUAAAAUAACUUGAUUUCCUACGAACUUCUGCUAGAUGUGACAAUGGUCUAAGCUUGUGCCAAAAAAAAAAAGAAAAAAAAAAAGGUAGCCUAGGCUAUUAGAGUUGGAUGCUCCAAAGUUGAACAACUAAGCCAUGCUCUGUGAAUAGCUGGUGAAAAAAUAAAUGAAGCCCAACAAAUUUUCUUUACUACACUCCUUCACUAUUAUAUUUCUACAACACAAUCAUUAUCAAGCAUUCAAUCAACACAUUACUCAAAUUUGCAGACCCUCAAGCAAAUAUUAAUAGAUACUAAUACCACAUGUAAAAUUCCUUCGAACAACAUCUGGAGACAAGGAAUUGUGAUUUUCCAAUAUGGGUUAGAAAUGAUUCCGUGGGAAUUUGACUACACAAAGUUAAACUUGGGGCAUUGAUUUGGAAUUUAUGACAAGAAAUAACUCAAUUCAAUUUUAUUUGAACCAUUUCCAGUUCUGCCAACAGAGUUUUCAAUUUUCACCAAUUAUAUGCACCCAAAACAGAAUUGAGAUACACCCAAUUGCAAAUUGAAACAUCAUGAAAAUUAAGUUGUCAUUAAUUUUAAUUUUUCAACGGUAGCAUCAAUUUUUAUUUUCCAUGACAUUUCAAUUUGUGAUUGGAUGGACAGCAAAUUAGACAGCAUAGAGGGACAACAGAUGUCAACUCCCCAAAAGACAGCCUUCAAUCCAAAAUUAUUGGAAUCGUUUCUACUUCUGGCAAC
rnacentral:lncRNA from 1 species